rnacentral:rRNA from 1 species
GACGGAGGGCGCAAGCGUUGUUCGGAAUUACUGGGCGUAAAGGGCGGGCAGGCGGUCCGUUAAGUCUUCUGUGAAAAUCCGGGGCUCAACCCCGUGAAAUGCAGGAGAUACUGGCGGACUAGAGACCGGUAGAGGCUAGCGGAAUUCCUGGUGUAGCGGUGGAAUGCGUAGAUAUCAGGAAGAACACCUGUGGCGAAGGCGGCUAGCUGGGCCGGAUCUGACGCUCAUCCGCGAAAGCGUGGGGAGCAAA